rnacentral:tRNA from 1 species
GGAGUUGUGGCUCAGCGGUAGAGUGCUCAUCUAGCACAUGUGAGGCCCUGGGUUCGAUCCUCGGCACCA